GAGUUUGAUCCUGGCUCAGGAUGAACGCUAGCGGCAGGCCUAAUACAUGCAAGUCGAGGGGUAAUUACACUUUCGGGUGUGAACGACCGGCGCACGGGUGCGUAACGCGUAUGCAACCUACCCACAACUGGGGGAUAGCCCGGAGAAAUCCGGAUUAAUACCUCAUAACGCAGGGGUAUCGCAUGGUACUAUUUGUUAAAGAUUUAUCGGUUGUGGAUGGGCAUGCGUCUGAUUAGUUAGUUGGUGAGGUAACGGCUCACCAAGGCUACGAUCAGUAGGGGGUCUGAGAGGAUGAUCCCCCACACUGGUACUGAGACACGGACCAGACUCCGGUAGGCGGAAUUUAUGGUGUAGCGGUGAAAUGCAUAGAUACCAUAAAGAACACCGAUAGCGAAGGCAGCUUACUAUGCUGUAACUGACGCUGAGGCACGAAAGCGUGGGGAGCGAACAGGAUUAGAUACCCUGGUAGUC
rnacentral:rRNA from 1 species